rnacentral:rRNA from 1 species
GACAGAGGUGCCAAACGUUAGGCGGAAUCACUGGGCUUAAAGCGUGUGUAGGCGGACCGUUAAGUACCUUGUGAAAUCCCACGGCUCAACCGUGGAACUGCUCGGUAUACUGGUCGUCUUGAGCCACCUAGGGGCGAGCGGAACAAGCGGUGGAGCGGUGAAAUGCGUAGAUAUCGCUUGGAACGCCAACGGUGAAAACAGCUCGCUGGGGGUGUGCUGACGCUGAGACACGAAAGCCAGGGGAGCGAACGGG